rnacentral:misc_RNA from 1 species
GAAAUGCGAUAAGCAAUGCGAAUUGCAGAAUUCCGCGAAUUAUCAGAUCUUUGAACGCAAAUGGCGCUAGAGGGAUAUCCUUCUGGCAUGUCUGUUUCAGUGUCUAAGAGGUUUCACCCUAAUCUUAAUGUGAUUGAAUGAAGCUUGAUAUAGUAUGGUUAGUAGUAGUUUUACAAAAACCACUCUCUUCCGUACACUUGCUGAUUUCUCUCAUGAAAUAUGCGUGGGUGGAUCUUUCGGUCCAAUGAAGUGGUCACAUCACUCGAAUGUGAUUUCAUUGGAAGCACCGAAUUAUCCUUACAAAAACUCACGGUAACAAUACAUACAUACUCUACAACCUGCAUCUGAGAUAGGCAAGAUCACCCGCUGAACUUAA